rnacentral:lncRNA from 1 species
ACUCUGUAGAUUGACCUUGAACUCAGAGAUCUGGAUGCCUAUCUCCUAGGAUUAAAGGUUCAGAGGUUCAGUCCAUUAUCAUCAAUAGAGGAACAUGGCAGCAUUCAGGAAGGCAUGUUGUGGAGGAGCUAAGAGUCUUCAUCUGAAGGCUGUUAGCACAAUACUCAAGAAAUUACUUUCAAGGUAAGCGUGUAAGAUGCCAAUGAGUUCCAGUGAUGAUAUCAAGCUUUCUUGGGUUUCCUGAACCACUCAGUUUGAGAAAAGCCAGCUUCUCCAUGAGGCACUGUUGUGACAGAGUCCACAUGGCAGCACAAUUUUCUGCCAACAACCAUUGAGACAGUUCAAAAGUUGUUCUUUCACCAGUUUUACCAGAAGGCAAGCCCUCCUGGAAGACUUUGAAGCAAAGUCAAUUGACCCAGCUAUCCCCAAUGCCUGAUCCACAGACCUGUUAUGUCUACUCUAAUUCAGGGUAUUGUGUUCCAUAGCUGCAGCUGAGUCCUGUACAGAUAUUUGGAAGUACAAUGAAGAGCAAGGUGACUCAAUUGUACUUUUGAUAAUGCUUGUAUUAUAUCCUGUUUCUCACUGAAACUGAUUCUCUUUAUCUUUUUUUGUGAAUCACAAAGAAGCUAUGAGGAUGAAGCACUUUAGUGUAAUAGAAGGAAUUCAGGACAAAGGAAAGAUUGGAAGUUCACUUCUCUUCUUGAACUUCAGUUUAUUCAUUCAUGGAAAAAAAAGCCAUGGCUAUAUAGGAUUAUUGAUUCUCAUUCUCCAUUGUGUGCCUAUUUUUAACACAUGUUAUAAUCUCAUUGACUUACCUCCUAAGACAUCAGUACAACAAAAUACACCAUUUUUACCCUUAAGAUAUUUAAAGAGGUGGGGACCAGAGUAACCUUUUGACAUUUAGCCAUACUUCCCAACAGUAAAUCACUAUAUCCUGGACAUUCUGAUAGGGUAUGUUACUGAAGAAAUGAAAUAUGCUGGAUUUUAAAGCCUACUAAGAAUUACAGAUGGUGAAAAUAAAGAAAACAAGUGGGUUAAAAUGAAUGUCACCUGUGCAGGCACGUAAGGAGGAGUGACAUUAUAUACAACAGAAUGAGGAGGGGUGUCCGGGUUGUUAAUGAGAAAAGAUGAGAAAAUUCUGAUGCAAAUAAGUUAUUCAUCUUCAUAAGAACUUUAGUGGGUCUGGCACUGCUUAUUCAUAUUCAUAAGUCUGAAGGCAAUUCAUUAGCCAUGUGAUGGGUUGGGGCAAAGUGAAAUGGAAUAUGAACCAACAUUGUAAAAACACACAAUGAAAUGUAUUAAUUGGUAAAGCCAAAUUCUAUCCAUAGAAAUGGAAGUGAAAAAUACAUAUAUACUACAGAAAGACUAUAAUUUGGAAAUAUAUUAUUUGUUUACUUCCUUCUUUAAAAAGUCCCCAAGUUUUGUGUAAAGCAUAUCUGUGCUAUAUUGGCUUCAUUUUUAUAAAGAAUGCUGCCUGUUAAGUUUCAAGACUCAUGCAAGAUAUUAUGCAUGUGCAAAUCAAACCUGCCUUAGUCAACUUUCAGGUAAUUUUGGAUUUUUCACAAGUGGAGAAUCCAUUAACAAUAAUAUAACAGGCCUUGUGGAAUUAUAUUUUCAAGUAUUAUUGUGUGCAGAAAUGUAAAGAUUAACAAUUGAGUAAAAUAAAAUAAUUUAUCCUCAUUAUAAUUUAUCAUAUUUCAGUAGUAUGUGAGAAAUACCAGUGAUGAUAAUGAAAGAAAUAGUUUUCUGCUUAUCUAUUUUAAACCUGACUUUUUCAUAUUUUAAAGCUUCUGAUGUGUUUCCCAUAUCAUUCAUGUUUGUAUCCCCCCAUGCUGAGCAGGUUCUUUAGUUCAGUAUUUGUCAAAUAAUUGCUCAACAUAGGCCUUAGGCAAUGGCUUAAUUAAUUAGAUAUGAAGAUUUUCAUGAGAGUUACUUAUCAUUUCAUGAUCAUAGUCACUUUUCCAUACAGCUGCAUUGUGCAUUGGAUUCUAAACUGAACCAUUUAUUUUAGUUUCUGUGGAAUAGAGGGCAUCAGAAAGGAGACUCUUUUGUUACUUGAGUAAAUGUAAGACCUACAUAGGAAUUUAAGUCAAUAUAACUCAUUAAUAUAAGUACCAGUAGGAUACUACAGUUCUCUUAAGGCAAAUUUCAAGCAUGCAGAUACAUACCCCUGAAGCAACAAUGGAAUGAAUGAAUACAUAGAAGCAAAGUUGUAAGGAAAUAAUAAUUCCCAGCCACCUUUAGUAUGUUUGCACUGUAUUGUCAAAACUCAUAAUUAGUACUAUCUCUUUUCUUCAAAUGGGUCCAUGAAAUUAUUCACUGAUGCCCAGUCUGAUGACUGAGAAAGGUGUUCUCUACCAACAAAGUGGGACCAUUUCUUGUCAUUUCAACCUUUCCCUUCAGAUGGCCAUGCACACAGAUUUCAUAAGACUUCAGCACUCUCAAACUCCCUGUCUGCCGCAGAGUGCUGAGAAGCUCUUUGCUUGUUCAUUCCAAGUACCCACUUGUGUUUCUUACCUGGUAUUUAUAUGCUAAGACUUUGUGGAUUUCCUUGAUAUAUAUGUACUUCUUUCCAUUCCUUGCUGGUCAUCACCAUAAAGCACAAAAGGGGUUUUUGUCAGCAUUUUAAAAGCAUUGGAAUCUGCACAUUCUCAGGUGUCUUUUACCCAUGACUUCCCCCAAAGAAUGUCAUCACUGGACAGACGUCUGAGUUGUGUGAGACCUUUGAGUCACUUUACUGAUGAUGACAGUCAUGUUCCCUUUUUUAAGUCAUCGUCUCUGCUUCCUUUCUAAACCAGGCAGGUUCAGUUCUUGUUGGUUGGUAAAGGUGCUCUUGGCUUAUCAUCAUAUUAUUGAGACAUUGCAUUUGAUAAUAAUAUUUUAUAGAUCACUUUAUUAUUAAUUAAGCAAUUCUUUUUCUUCAGGGGAUAUCUUCAACUAUAGUUAUCAGUUUCUGGAGUCAGGUUUGAGCAUGAAAACUCUUAGAUCAUUUGAUAAAUAUUAGCAUUUCUUUUCCUGUGCAGAAAUGUCAGCUUUUGUUUUCCCUUAAGGAAAAGGAUUACAAAUCAGCAAUGAGUAACUUUUUUUCCAAACCCCAGUAGGGUAAAUGAUCUAAAGGGCCAGAAUGAAUAACUUAUCAUGUUAGUUUUUGGCUUGGUCUCCACUAUCCUAGGCAAUUUCCACAGCUUGCCAGGUGGAAAUGAUUCAAUAUUGUGUUAAUGAGAUAAAUGCUAGGCUAAGAAAACAUUUUUGGAAGGAAAUAAAAAUUAGAAUAAUCAUGCAUUUCUUUUAAAUAGGUUAGUAUAUGCUUUGAUUCCUUCUCAGGACAUCUGACACAAGGAGGGUUUGCUGCCAAUUUGCCAGAAGUAAAAGGAGAUGCCAAAUAUCCACAUAUAUCAGACAAGCAUUUGUAAAACCCAUAUCUUAUUUCUGGGUUCCCAGUGAAUGAUUCUCUUCCUUUAGGGCCUUCUCUGCUCCAAAUCAGGUAUUUCACAGACCUCUUGGAUACUGCCCUGACUACACCAGUUUAAGCUACUAUGAAAAUCAUGUCUAUUUUGAAAGCCAUUCUCUUAGCAUCUGGAACAUAAUAUGUUUAAGAGCAGGUGGCAGUAACUGCCCAAUUAGAAUGUUUUGAAUAUUCAGAUCAACAGCCUUGGUUAGAAAGAAUUUCUUCACCACCCCCUCAUGCUUCUUAGAAAUGCUAAAUAAUGAAAAUCAAAGGGUUUAUAGCAACCAUGCUAGGGCG